GGAAGCUUCCGCCCGGCUUAUUAUCCUCCUUAUUGACAAACAGAGCGGCCGCGGCGGCGACUCUCGGCGUGCAUCUGUAGCCAAGCCAUGGGAGACAAGAAGAGCCCCACCAGGCCGAAGCGGCAGCCGAAGCCGUCCUCGGAUGAGGGUUACUGGGACUGUAGCGUCUGCACCUUCCGGAACAGCGCCGAGGCCUUCAAGUGCAUGAUGUGCGAUGUGCGGAAGGGCACCUCCACCCGGGACAGCAAGGAAGGGGGGAAGCUGGUGUCCUACUCCACAGCCAGUCUUGGGGUUAGAGGAACCCUGAGAAAUAGAGUAGGUGGUGGCAGCUCAGAAGAGACGAAACAGGCUGAAUACCUGGCACCUGGAAGAAGAAGGAAUAUAGUGCACAGGGAAGUUGGCCCAGGACAGAGAAGUGGGCCUAGUUUAAAAGAGGCUUGAGGCCCACAUGGGGGCCCCUGACAUUUUUUACCAGUACAUCUGAGCCCUUGUAGAUCCAAUUUUUAGUGGAUUACUUGAGGAGGACUCAGAGAAGCAUUGUCAUUUGGAUUGAAACUGAAGAGGCUCUGGGCAACUCACCAGAAGUCUAAGGGACACUCUGUUCCUAAAAAUAUGCAGAGUUCCUGAGCCUCCCUUACCUGUCUGAGGAGCCUUUCCAGCUGCCACACAGUUGUUCAGAGACUCCUUAUUCUAGGAGAAAUUUCAGCCCAAUGAAGCUGCCACUCCAUUGCUGGGUAAAUCCUUCUCUUUCUAUACCUGUAUAUAGGAGGAGUGAAUCAUUGCACCCUUUGUGGUUCAGCUAAUCAAGCAAAUCACAGCAUUUUCCAUAAAUCUGUAUUUGGUCUGUAAAGUGAUAGUCAUCUGUGCAGUACAUUGCAUUUGAUGUGGAGUACUCAUGAUUCCGAUUUUAUGAGUGCUGACUAGCAGAGUUAUUACUUAGAAUAUAGGCAAUCAUUUGAAAAUUGUCACUGUUGACCAGACUAUAUUGAAAUUUAUUAUGUUAGAAAAAUUUGCCAUUGUUUUAUAAAAGUUUUACAUGGAAGGUGUGUGCUUACUUUGAAAUGGUUAUUAAGAACUGAUUUGAAAUCUAAUGCAGGACUUAGACUCUGGUCAAAUUAAUUUUAAUAUUAUAAUCAAAAGAUGAGAAAAAAACAUCAAUUAAAGAGUAAAAGUUAGGCUUCCUUAUUAUGUUGACAUAAUUGUUGGCAUUUUUACAUAUUAACUUGGAUACUUACUAUAAUUAGUGUAUAAAAGACUGUACAUAAUGCUCCUGACAUUUUGGACUAGGAUCAGAAAAAUGUUAAGAACAGAUGAUUUUAACUGUCUACAAAAGUAUAUGCUUUUUUGUUAAUACUCACCUGAGGAUAUUCUUCCAUCAGUUUUUUUUUUUUUAGAUAGAGUGGAAGGGAGGGACGUGGGGGGGGGUGG